rnacentral:rRNA from 1 species
AGUGAACGCUGGCGGUAGGCCUAACACAUGCGAGUCGAACGGCAGCACAGUAAGAGCUUGCUCUUACGGGUGGCGAGUGGCGGACGGGUGAGGAAUACAUCGGAAUCUACUUUUUCGUGGGGGAUAACGUAGGGAAACUUACGCUAAUACCGCAUACGACCUACGGGUGAAAGCAGGGGAUCUUCGGACCUUGCGCGAUUGAAUGAGCCGAUGUUGGAUUAGCUAGUUGGCGGGGUAAAGGCCCACCAAGGCGACGAUCCGUAGCUGGUCUGAGAGGAUGAUCACCCACACUGGAACUGAGACACGGUCCAGACUCCUGCGGGUGGCAGCAGUGGGGAAUAUUGGACAAUGGGCGCAAGCCUGAUCCAGCCAUACCGCGUGGGUGAAGAAGGCCUUCGGGUUGUAAAGCCCUUUUGUUGGGAAAGAAAAGCAGCAGGUUAAUACCCCGCUGUUCUGACGGUACCCAAAGAAUAAGCUCCGGCUAACUUCGUG